AGACCCAGCCAGGCCCCACCUGUUCCAGGCUGCGCCUCCAAGGCCCCAUUGACCCAUCCCCCCGCUAGUCCCCCCAGGGAUCUGUUGCUGCCCCCGCGACACUGAGCACUUCCCACCGUCAGCAUCACCUUCUCUACUGGUCUGUAAGGUUACUGUCCUUUGCGUCCUUACCACCAGUUCUCCUGACACAGAAAAAGUGCUCAGACGUAUCUGCUGAAUGAACCAGAAAAGCCACAAUAUCUUGGCUCAGCCUUAGCGAGAGUCAAGGUACCAGAUGGAAGCUGGUCCAUGCAGACCCUCAGUGCUGUAAGGGCCCUAUGGCAGCCAGGCCUGCCAUGAGCCGCCAUCCUGGAGUUCAGACCUUCUCCCGCCCCCUCCUGGAGUGCCUCAGCGCUGGCCUGCAUGACCAACAGAAUAAGAUGGAGCUGAAAGCUCGUGACUCUGAAGCCCCUCUGCUGUGCUCGGUCCUGGAGGGAGCCAGACAUCAGGCUGUAAGGACACUCACGCUGCACCAGCCCACAGAGCCAGACACCAGCAUUGUCCGGGGAGCAAUAAUGGCUGUGUUUCCAGCAUCCCUGCCCACUGGCCCUGACAGAUACCGCAGUGGUUCCUGCCAGGAAAUUCCCUGCCACGUGAAAACCCAGAGGAGGAAGCGGAGCCCCAUGGACCUCUCAGGCUCCACCCAGAGUUGCAGGAGUAAAACAAGCCCAUCAUCUCGGGCCCGGGCAUCCACAGGGACCUGGGAGCCUGUGACAAGACACACACCCCCCCCGGCCUCAGGCGGCCGCCUCUGUGCUUACUCUACCAUGUCUGAGGUGGUUUGGGCCCUGUGUACCACUUGAUAGAGCCCUCAGGGGAAAAGUAUUGCCACCUCCAUUUUGCAAACAAGAAAACCAGGGCCAAGAUCUAACUCGAGCCUUCUCCAAGACCAGGCGGACUCAGGACAACUGGCCCAUCGUCCUUACAGGCAGCAGGCAGAGCGAGUGAGGCUCAGGGCUGGACAGCACUCUACCCAGAAAUAUGUUGAAGGGAGGGAAGGAUGGGAAGAUGAAGUCAGAAAGGAAUCUGAGCUUCAGCAAAAGCCCGGCUCUCCCGGGGAGAACUGGCUCCUGUUUGCAUACUUGGGGCAGCUCCGUCUCCUCCUGCGGCUCCUGUGACCACCCCCUCCCAUCCUCAGACCCGGCUCAAGGAAACACUGUGGAAGGAAUGAAUGAGCAGCACCUGGGAGCAUGAAGCAGAGGGCAAAGCCAGGGACCCCAGAACAUCAAGGA
ensembl:lncRNA